CUAAACAUUUAAAGGCGCCGCCUGCCCAGUGAACAAUUAAACGGCCGCGGUACCCUAACCGUGCAAAGGUAGCAUAAUCAUUUGUCUACUAAUUAUAGACCUGUAUGAAAGGCAAAAUGAGAGUCCCACUGUCUCCUGUAAUCAAUCAAUAAAACUGAUCUCCCAGUCCAAAAGCUGGGAUGCAACUAUAAGACCAGAAGACCCUGUGAAGCUUAAACUAACUUAUUACCCUCACUAAUAACUACUUUAGGUUGGGGCGACCUUGGAAAAAAAAGAAACUUCCAAAAGUGACCUAUCUCACUAUACACGGCCCACAAGCCCCUCUCCGACCCAGACAACUGAUUACUGAACCAAGUUACUCCAGGGAUAACAGCGCUAUCUUCUUCAAGAGCCCAUAUCAAAAAGAAGGUUUACGACCUCGAUGUUGGAUCAGGACACCCCAGUGGUGCAACCGCUAUUAAAGGUUCGUUUGUUCAACGAUUAACAGUCCUACGUGAUCUGAGUUCAGAACCGGGGA
rnacentral:rRNA from 1 species